UAUUUCUCUAUUCUAAAACUUUCUAAAAGUAUAGCUGAAAUAAAAUAUAAAGUCAACUGUCUCUGUUAAAAUGUAUAUAAUCUACUUUGAAGAUUGAAACUGAUCCACAAUUUGGAACAGAUUCAGUUGACAAAUGAAUGGGAGUAAGAAAUGGUGGUAGUUGUGUUGAUGAGUCUAGUAACCAACCUAGAGAAGAGUUAAAAUUACUCAAGUUGUAAUUCAGGGUCAUGGACAAGGCUUCAAAUAUUGGUCUAAAUGCUAGAG
rnacentral:misc_RNA from 1 species